rnacentral:tRNA from 1 species
UCCCCAGUGGUCCAGUGGUUGAAAUUCUGUGCUUCCACUGCAGGGGCCACAGGUUCAAUCCCUGGUUGGGGAA